GGCACAUGGAGAUUUUGGCCUACUAAAUUUUGACCAUGCUGGAAUCCCAUCACAUUCCCACCUUUGAUGCCUCUGAUAUAUCAUUAUUCAAGAUGCAUCACCAAUCACAGUUUUACCUACAUCUCUCAAGUAGCCAUUUAACCAGAGUAGACCUUGUAAGCAUCUUAAAAACUCCUUCAACAUUCUUCAUCCUGAAUAUAUUCUCUUCGGGCUAGGGGAUCAUAUCUUCC